UUUUAAAUGAUAUUGUGGAGAAUUUGUAAAGCUAUGAAUCGAACUCACAAGGAUUUUCAUGACGGUCGAGAGGUGAUGGUUCAACAAAGUCAACUGAGAUGACAAGGAUCUUGUAGGAAUGAUUGUGAGGCUGAUCCUUCACAAAAUGACGACGACGAUCUUCUUGGAUGACUGGAGCGAGACAAAGGAGACUGAGAUGAUUUCUAGGUUAUGUGUUCUCUCUUACUUGUCAUUGAGCCGUGGGAAAAAUCUUGUGGAUUGAUUACAAUUUAGAGCUAUAUUUGUUGUUUCAUAUAUCUUAGAAGAGAUUAUGUAGGUUUGGCUAGUAAACUAUCAUUGAGCCGUGAAAUUUCUGCUGAUUUGUGUGUUUGUGAUGAUAUUGUUGCUUUGAGAACUCAUGUAUCUAUCAGGAUGGGAUUUGUGACAUGGAAUUUCAAUUUGAUAUUU